rnacentral:rRNA from 1 species
GACGAACGCUGGCGGCGUGCUUAACACAUGCAAGUCGAGCGGCAAGGCCCUUUCGGGGGUACACGAGCGGCGAACGGGUGAGUAACACGUGGGUGACCUGCCCUCAGCUCUGGGAUAAGCCUGGGAAACCGGGUCUAAUACCGGAUAUGACUCCAUGACGCAUGUUGUGGGGUGGAAAGCCUUGUGCGGCUGAGGAUGGGCCCGCGGCCUAUCAGCUUGUUGGUGGGGUGANGGCCUACCAAGGCGACGACGGGUAGCCGGCCUGAGAGGGCGACCGGCCACACUGGGACUGAGACACGGCCCAGACUCCUACGGGAGGCAGCAGUGGGGAAUCUUGCGCAAUGGGCGAAAGCCUGACGCAGCGACGCCGCGUGAGGGAUGACGGCCU